GCCCAGCCCUGCAUUCCCUGUGUUCCCAUUCAGUGACCAGCACUGAACAGACUCACCAUGGAGCUGGGGCUGAGCUGGCUUUUCCUUGUUGUGCUUUUAAAAGGUGUCCAGUGUGAGGAGAAGCUGCUGGAGUCUGGGGGAGGCUUGGUGCAGCCUGGGGGAUCCCUGAGACUCUCCUGUGUGGCCUCUGGAUUCACCUUCAGUAACUACUGGAUGCACUGGGUCCGCCAGGCUCCAGGGAAGGGGCUGGAGUGGGUCUCAUACAUAAGUAGUAGUGGUGGUACCACACACUACGCCAACUCCGUGAAGGGCCGAUUCACCGUCUCCAGAGACAAUGCCAAGAACACCCUGUUCCUGGACAUGAGCAGUCUGAGAUCUGAGGACACCGCCCUGUAUUACUGUGUAAGAGACACAGUGAGGGAAAGUUCCUGUGAGCUCAGACACAAACUCCCUGCAGGGCACUCAGGACCAGCAGGGGGCACUGGAACAUACCUAGCUCUGGGUCACAGCACAGCAGAGAUUUUCAGGUCUUACAUUAAGGUAACGCAGAUCUCUUUGACAUCUAUUUUCUACAGGCUGAGAGAUGAGAUUGAAGUCAAACUCUCCAUGUGA